rnacentral:lncRNA from 1 species
CACUUUUUUUCUUUUCAACUUCACCAUUCUUUUCGUUCUUUUCAACUUCUUCCUCCUCACUCCACUCCCCCACUUCACCAUCAAUAUGGUCCUCCAAUAUUUCCUCCUCAUUUUCUUUCUCAUCUCUUUUUUUAUUCUCACUGAUCAACUCCCUCCCACUUCGCGUCAUGAUCGCUUUACAAUGUUCCUUAGGAUUUGUUUGCGUGUUUGCCGAAAAGGAAGGACCGGGUUGUUGUUCCGCGAGUUGCUUAGCAAGUUGCCCAACUUGAGUCUCGAGAUUUUUUAUAGCC